AUGAACGCUAGCUACAGGCUUAACACCUGCAAGUCGAGGGGAAACGACAUCGAAAGCUUGCUUUUGAUGGGCGUCGACCGGCGCACGGGUGAGUAACGCGUAUCCAACCUGCCCAUCACUUGGGAAUAACCUUGCGAAAGUAAGACUAAUACCCAAUGAUAUCCCACGAAGGCAUCGGAAUGGGAUUAAAGACUUAUCGGUGAUGGAUGGGGAUGCGUCUGAUUAGCUUGUUGGCGGGGUAACGGCCCACCAAGGCAACGAUCAGUAGGGGUUCUGAGAGGAAGGUCCCCCACAUUGGAACUGAGACACGGUCCAAACUCCUACGGGAGGCAGCAGUGAGGAAUAUUGGUCAAUGGGCGAGAGCCUGAACCAGCCAAGUAGCGUGCAGGAAGACGGCCAUAUGGGUUGUAAACUGCUUUUAUAAGGGAAUAAAGUGGGUCACGUGUGACUUUUUGCAUGUACCUUAUGAAUAAGGACCGGCUAAUUCCGUG
rnacentral:rRNA from 1 species